UACGAAGGGGGCUAGCGUUGCUCGGAAUGACUGGGCGUAAAGGGCGCGUAGGCGGUUUGCCAAGUUAGAUGUGAAAUUCCUGGGCUUAACCUGGGGGCUGCAUUUGAUACUGGCAGGCUUGAGUAUGGAAGAGGGUCGUGGAAUUCCCAGUGUAGAGGUGAAAUUCGUAGAUAUUGGGAAGAACACCGGUGGCGAAGGCGGCGACCUGGUCCAUAACUGACGCUGAGGCGCGAAAGCGUGGGGAGCAAACAGG
rnacentral:rRNA from 1 species